CCUACGGGUGGCAGCAGUGGGGAAUAUUGGACAAUGGGCGAAAGCCUGAUCCAGCCAUGCCGCGUGUGUGAAGAAGGCCUUCGGGUUGUAAAGCACUUUCAGUGGGGAAGAAAGCCUUGGGGCUAAUACCCUCGAGGAAGGACAUCACCCACAGAAGAAGCACCGGCUAACUCCGUGCCAGCAGCCGCGGUAAUACGGAGGGUGCGAGCGUUAAUCGGAAUUACUGGGCGCAAAGCGCGCGUAGGCGGUCUGAUAAGCCGGUUGUGAAAGCCCCGGGCUCAACCUGGGAACGGCAUCCGGAACUGUCAGGCUAGAGUGCAGGAGAGGAAGGUAGAAUUCCCGGUGUAGCGGUGAAAUGCGUAGAGAUCGGGAGGAAUACCAGUGGCGAAGGCGGCCUUCUGGACUGACACUGACGCUGAGGUGCGAAAGCGUGGGUAGCAAACAGGAUUAGAUACCCGUGUAGUC
rnacentral:rRNA from 1 species